rnacentral:rRNA from 1 species
AGGGUUCGAUUCUGGCUCAGGAUGAACGCUGGCGGCGUGCCUAACACAUGCAAGUCGAACGGGUUAAGGGAAAUUUCGGAUGGAACUUAACUAGUGGCGGACGGGUGAGUAACGCGUGGAUAACCUGCCUCACACUGGGGGAUAGCAGCUGGAAACGGCUGGUAAUACCGCAUAAGACCACAGCACCGCAUGGUGCAGGGGUAAAAGAUUUAUCGGUGUGAGAUGGAUCCGCGUCUGAUUAGCCAGUUGGCGGGUAACGGCCCACCAAAGCGACGAUCAGUAGCCGGCCUGAGAGGGUGAACGGCCACAUUGGGACUGAGACACGGCCCAAACUCCUACGGGAGGCAGCAGUGGGGAAUAUUGCACAAUGGGCGCAAGCCUGAUGCAGCAAACCGCCGCGUGAGUGAAGAAGUAUUUCGGUAUGUAAAGCUCUAUCGGCAGGGAAGAAAGGCCCGAAAGGGAGAUGACGGUACCUGACUAAGAAGCCCCGGCUAACUACGUGCCAGCCGCCGC